rnacentral:rRNA from 1 species
UACGUAGGGUGCAAGCGUUGUCCGGAUUUAUUGGGCGUAAAGAGCGUGUAGGCGGCCAUACAGGUCAGCUGUGAAAACUCGAGGCUCAACCUCGAGACGUCGGUUGAAACCGUAUGGCUAGAGUCCGGAAGAGGAGAGUGGAAUUCCUGGUGUAGCGGUGGAAUGCGCAGAUAUCAGGAGGAACACCGAUGGCGAAGGCAGAUCUCUGGGCCGUAACUGACGCUGAGGAGCGAAAGCGUGGGGAGCGAACAGG